rnacentral:rRNA from 1 species
AGCUGACGAGCCCUUUACUGACGCUAAAGCUCGAAGGUGCGGGUAUCGAACAGGAUUAGAUACCCUGGUAGUCCGCACGGUAAACGAUGGAUGCCCGCUGUUGGCGAUAUACAGCCAGUGGCCAAGCGAAAGCGUUAAGCAUCCCACCUGGGGAGUACGCCGGCAACGGUGAAACUCAAAGGAAUUGACGGGGGCCCGCACAAGCGGAGGAACAUGUGGUUUAAUUCGAUGAUACGCGAGGAACCUUACCCGGGCUUGAACUGCAGCAGAACGAUAGAGAGAUCUUGAGGCCCUUCGGGGCUGCUGUGGAGGUGCUGCAUGGUUGUCGUCAGCUCGUGCCGUGAGGUGUCGGCUUAAGUGCCAUAACGAGCGCAACCCCUUUCGCCAGUUGCCAUCAGGUGAUGCUGGGCACUCCGGCGACACUGCCACCGCAAGGUGUGAGGAAGGUGGGGAUGACGUCAAAUCAGCACGGCCCUUACGUCCGGGGCUACACACGUGUUACAAUGGGGAGUACAGAGAGUCAGGCGUUGGCAACACCGCCUUAAUCAAUAAAGCUCUCCUCAGUUCGGAUUGGGGUCUGCAACCCGACCCCAUGAAGCU